GAGUACGUCUGCCAGGAGUGCGGGAAGAGCUUCAGCCAGCCCAGUCACCUGCGCACGCACAUGCGCUCCCACACAGUUGUUUUUGAGUUUAAUGGACUGCGAGGUACUGAUGCUCACUCCACCGCCAACGAAGCGCCCAAACAAGGGAGAAACCGUUCCGCUGCCACCACUGCCCAUACCGAGCCUCUCAGAAAGGGAAUCUGAAGACCCACGUCCAGAGCGUGCACCACGUGCCCUUUGACAACACCCUAUACCUGGACGGCAAGAGCGAGGAAAGCCACUGCGCCCUGGGAGAGUCUGGCGGCGCCCCCCUGCCCCUCGGACAUGGCCUCAUGACGGACAAACCUGACCGAACAGACUCCGGAAAAUGUACUCUGCAGACAUAUGCUCCAGAGAGCACCUUGGACUAAGCUAUGGGCCUGGGAGAAAAGGGUUUCAUUCCUUUAAUGGCCUUUCCGGGCUUCCGACGGAGAAUAUGAAGAAGAGGAGGAAGAAUGCUGUAGUGACCUGCUAUUGAGUGACUGACACUGUGAACCUGAUGGUGAUGGUUUUGCUUGGACCCUUGUGGUGCUACAGCUACAGACAGUGUGUGUGCGUUUUUAGUUGCUUCAGUCAGUAAAACACUCGAACGCUUCCUCAGCACAACCCUAUGAAAUGUUUUUUUUUUCUUUCUUUCUUUUUGGCUGUUACUGUUAUUAAAUGCGGUGGAUCGGACGAUUUCCAUGACAUUUAGUUUGAUACUUGAUGCAUUUGACGCGCUGACCGACUACAGUGCAUUCAUCCAGCCACCUGGGAGCCGAGCAUCCGGAGGCAAGAUGAAGUGACCACUCUGUCGUAUAUGGCCAUUUUAAAAGGCCAUUAGGAGAAAUGGCAGCGACGACGGGCCGUGAAGUGAUGAGUGUGUGUGUGUGUGUGUGUGUGUGUGAGUGUGUGAAUUAGCUCUUAUU
ensembl:lncRNA